rnacentral:lncRNA from 1 species
UAGAAAACUUCCCAGAGAUGAAAGAUGGAAUGGAUUGCCAAAUCCUGGAAGCCUACAGGACCCCAAACAUUCAAAACCGUAAUAGACCAACUCCAAGACAUAUAAUUAUGAAGAUAGCCAACAUACAGAACAAGGAGAGAAUAUUAAAAGCUACGAGAGAAAGGAGGCAGAUUACAUUCAGGGGUAAACCAAUUAGGUUAACGACUGAUUUUUCAUCACAGACUUUGAAAGCGAGAAGAUCCUGGAACAAUGUAUUUCAAACGCUGAAAAAUAAUGGAUUCCAACCAAGAAUACUGUAUCCAGCAAAAUUAAGCUUCAGAUUUGACAAUGAAAUUAAAAUAUUUCACGAUAAACAAAAGCUAAAAGAAUUCGCAGCCAGAAAACCAGCACUGCAAAGCAUUUUGAGCAAAAUACUACAAGAAGAGGAAUUGAAAAAUAGCGCCCAAAACUAACAGCGGGAGGUAUCUCAGUAAAGGGGGAGGAAAAUAACCAAAAAGUAAAAACUAGCCAAACUAAAAUAAAUAAAUAAAUAAACAUGACUGGAUGUACAAACCAUAUUUCAAUUAUAACCUUAAAUGUUAAUGGCCUAAACUCACCAAUCAAGAGACAUAGGCUAGUAACCUGGAUCAAAAAAACAAAUCCAACAAUAUGCUGCCUUCAGGAGACUCAUAUGAUAGGAAAAGACAUGCACAGGCUGAAGGUAAAAGGUUGGGAAAAAUCAUACCACUCACAUGGCCCUCAAAAGCAAGCAGGAGUGGCCAUACUCAUAUGGAAUACAAUCAACUUCAAACCUAAGUUAAUCAAAAGGGAUAAAGAAGGACACUAUAUACUCUUAAAAGGAACCAUCCACCAACAAUACAUAACAAUUAUCAAUUUGUAUGCACCAAACAAUGGUGCUGCAACGUUCAUAAAACAAACUCUCCUCAAGUUCAAGAGUCAAAUAGACUACAACACAAUAAUUAUGGGUGACUUCAACACACCGCUCUCGCCAUUAGACAGAUCCUCUAGACAAAAGCUGAAUAAAGAAACUAUAGAACUCAAUAGCACAAUCAAUAACCUAGACUUAACCGACAUAUAUAGAAUAUAUCAACCAUCAUCAUCUUCAACAAAUGGUGCUGGGAAAAUUGGAAAUCCAUAUGCAACAAAAUGAAACUGAAUCCCUUUGUCUCGCCAUGCACAAAAGUUAACUCAAAAUGGAUCAAGGAGCUAGAUAUCAAAUCAGAGACACUGCGUCUGAUAGAAGAAAAAGUUGGCUACAAUCUACAUACUGUGGGGUCGGGCUCCAAAUUCCUUAGUAGGACGCCCAUAGCCCAAGAAUUAAUAACAAGAAUAAAUAAAUGGGACUUACUUAAACUAAAAAGUUUUUUCUGAGCAAGAGAAUCAAUAAGAGAGGUAAAUAGAGAGCCUACAUCCUGGGAACAAAUUUUUACCCCUCACACUUCAGACAGAGCCCUAAUAUCCCGAAUAUACAAAGAACUCAAAAAAUUAAACAAUAAGAUAACAAAUAACCCAAUCAACAAAUGGGCCAAGGACCUGAACAGACACUUCACAGAGGAGGACAUACAAUCAAUCAAGUACAUAAAAAAAUGCUCACCAUCUCUAGCAGUCAGAGAAAUGCAAAUCAAAACCACCUUAAGAUACCAUCUCACUCUAGUAAGAUUGGCAGCCAUUAUGAAGUCAAACAACAAUAAGUGUUGGCGAGGAUGUGGGGAAAAGGGUACACUUGUACACUGCUGGUGGGACUGCAAAUUGGUGAGGCCAAUUUGGAAAGCAGUAUGGAGAUUCCUGGGAAAGCUGGGAAUGGAUCCACCAUUCGACCCAGCUAUUGCCCUUCUAGGACUAUUCCCUGAGGAUCUUAAAAGAGCGUACUAUAGGGAUACUGCCACAUCACUGAUCAUAGCGGCACAAUUCACAAUAGCUAGACUGUGGAACCAACCUAGAUGCCCUUCAAUAGAUGAAUGGAUAAAAAAAAAUGUGGCAUCUAUACACAAUGGAGUAUUAUGCAGCACUAAAAAAUGACAAAAUCUUAGAAUUUGCAGGGAAAUGGAUGGCAUUAGAGCAGAUUAUGCUAAGCAAAGCUAGCCAAUCCUUAAAAAACAAAUGCCAAAUGUCUUCUUUGAUAUAAAGAGAGCAACUAAGAACAGAACAGUGAGGAAGACCAUGAGGAAAAGAUUAACAUUAAACAGAGACGAGUGGGGGGAGAGAAAGGGAGAGAGAAGGGAAAGCAUAUGGAAAUGGUAGGAUACCCUCAAUGUUACACAAAAUUACAUAUAAGAGGUUGUGA